UACAGAGGUCUCAAGCGUUGUUCGGAUUCAUUGGGCGUAAAGGGUGCGUAGGCGGCGCGGUAAGUCGGGUGUGAAAUCUUGGAGCUUAACUCCGAAACUGCAUUCGAUACUGCCGUGCUUGAGGACUGGAGAGGAGACUGGAAUUUACGGUGUAGCGGUGAAAUGCGUAGAUAUCGUAAGGAAGACCAGUGGCGAAGGCGGGUCUCUGGACAGUUCCUGACGCUGAGCACGAAGGCCAGGGGAGCAAACGGG
rnacentral:rRNA from 1 species